CUCGGACUAAAUCUAAAAUAUCUUAAACUGUGUUCAGAAGAUAAAAGGAGGUCUCACGGGUUUGGAACAACAUAAGGGGCCAUGAUCAGACCUGCCCUCCUGACACACCAACACAUAAAAUGGUGCUCAAAGGCUGCAGGAAGGGUCAUUCCAUUGCAAUACAACCACAUUGUCGUCAUGUUGGAUUGGCCAGUCCAUUACUGAGGAGAGUGAGGACAUCUCAAUGACACCGGGCCUCAUUCUUUGUAUAUAUUUUCUGUUUGGGAUCCAAUAUCCUAAAGGACUGAAAAAGACACUGACCUGGAGUGCGUUGUCUUAAAAAUGAAGGAUGCAGCCGGACUUCCUGUCACAAUUAAAAGAGUGUACAACUCAA